rnacentral:rRNA from 1 species
UUGUAAACUCCUUUUAUCUGGGAAGAAAUGCAUUUUUUCUAAAGUGCUUGACGGUACCAGAGGAAUAAGCACCGGCUAACUCCGUGCCAGCAGCCGCGGUAAUACGGAGGGUGCAAGCGUUAUCCGGAUUCACUGGGUUUAAAGGGUGCGUAGGCGGGCAGGUAAGUCCGUGGUGAAAUCUCUGAGCUUAACUCAGAAACUGCCAUGGAUACUAUUUGUCUUGAAUGUUGUGGAGGUAAGCGGAAUAUGUCAUGUAGCGGUGAAAUGCUUAGAUAUGACAUAGAACACCAAUUGCGAAGGCAGCUUACUACACAAAUAUUGACGCUGAGGCACGAAAGCGUGGGGAUCAAACAGGAUUAGAUACCCUGGUAGUCCACGCCCUAAACGAUGAUUACUCGACAUCAGCGAUACACUGUUGGUGUCUGAGCGAAAGCAUUAAGUAAUCCACCUGGGAAGUACGAUCGCAAGAUUGAAACUC